AGUGAACGCUGGCGGUAGGCCUAACACAUGCAAGUCGAACGGCAGCACAGUAAGAGCUUGCUCUUACGGGUGGCGAGUGGCGGACGGGUGAGGAAUACAUCGGAAUCUACUUUUUCGUGGGGGAUAACGUAGGGAAACUUACGCUAAUACCGCAUACGACCUACGGGUGAAAGCAGGGGAUCUUCGGACCUUGCGCGAUUGAAUGAGCCGAUGUCGGAUUAGCUAGUUGGCGGGGUAAAGGCCCACCAAGGCGACGAUCCGUAGCUGGUCUGAGAGGAUGAUCAGCCACACUGGAACUGAGACACGGCCCAGACUCCUACGGGAGGCAGCAGUGGGGAAUAUUGGUCAAUGGGCGCAAGCCUGAUCCAGCCAUACCGCGUGGGUGAAGAAGGCCUUCGGGUUGUAAAGCCCUUUUGUUGGGAAAGAAAAGCAGCAGGUUAAUACCCCGCUGUUCUGACGGUACCCAAAGAAUAAGCACCGGCUAACUUCGUG
rnacentral:rRNA from 1 species